rfam:Felis catus isolate Cinnamon breed Abyssinian chromosome B2, whole genome shotgun sequence.
GCUUAGUUGGUUGAGCGUCCAACUCUUGAUUUCGGCUCAGGUCAUGAUCCCAGGGUUGUGGGAUCAAGCCCCACAUUGGGCU